rnacentral:rRNA from 1 species
UACGUAGGGGGCAAGCGUUGUCCGGAAUCAUUGGGCGUAAAGAGCGUGUAGGCGGCUCGGUAAGUCCGCUGUGAAAGUCCAGGGCUCAACCCUGGAAUGCCGGUGGAAACUGUCGGGCUAGAGUCCGGAAGAGGCGAGUGGAAUUCCUGGUGUAGCGGUGGAAUGCGCAGAUAUCAGGAGGAACACCGAUGGCGAAGGCAGCUCGCUGGGACGGUACUGACGCUGAGGCGCGAAAGCGUGGGGAGCGAACAGG